rnacentral:tRNA from 1 species
CAAGUCCUGCAGUGCGAGGCAUGUCGAAUUGCAAAUUCGAAGAAGCCACAUUUUGUGGCCCGGACU